AGGCGCGUAGCUCAGCGGGAGAGCACUUGCUUGACGUGCAAGGGGUCGCCAGUUCAAUCCUGGCCGCGCCUACCA
rnacentral:tRNA from 1 species